CAAUCUACCUUGUAGAGGGGAAUAGCCCAGAGAAAUUUGGAUUAAUGCCCCAUGGUAUUAUAGGACAGCAUUGUUUUAUAAUUAAACAUUCAUGGCUACAAGAUGAGUAUGCGUUCUAUUAGUUGGUAGGUAAGGUAACGGCUUACCUAGACUUCGAUAGAUAGGGGUCCUGAGAGGGAGAUCCCCCACACUGGUACUGAGACACGGACCAGACUCCUACGGGAGGCAGCAGUGAGGAAUAUUGGACAAUGGGCGGGAGCCUGAUCCAGCCAUGCCGCGUGCAGGAAGACGGCCCUAUGGGUUGUAAACUGCUUUUAUAGAGGAAGAAACACCCCUACGUGUGGGGGCUUGACGGUACUCUACGAAUAAGGAUCGGCUAACUCCGUGCCAGCAGCCGCGGUAAUACGGAGGAUCCAAGCGUUAUCCGGAAUCAUUGGGUUUAAAGGGUCCGUAGGCGGGACGAUCAGUCAGCGGUGAAAGUCUGUGGCUCAACCAUAGAAUUGCCAUUGAUACUGUUGUUCUUGAAUACUUAUGAAGUGGUUGGAAUAUGUAGUGUAGCGGUGAAAUGCAUAGAUAUUACAUAGAACACCGAUUGCGAAGGCAGAUCACUAAUAAGUCAUUGACGCUGAUGGACGAAAGCGUGGGUAGCGAACAGGAUUAGAUACCCUGGUAGUCCACGCCGUAAACGAUGGUUACUAGCUGUUCGGGAGCAAUCCUGAGUGGCUAAGCGAAAGUGAUAAGUAACCCACCUGGGGAGUACGUUCGCAAGAAUGAAACUCAAAGGAAUUGACGGGGGCCCGCACAAGCGGUGGAGCAUGUGGUUUAAUUCGAUGAUACGCGAGGAACCUUACCAGGGCUUAAAUGUAGGUUGACAGGGGUGGAAACACCUUUUCCUUCGGGCAAUUUACAAGGUGCUGCAUGGUUGUCGUCAGCUCGUGCCGUGAGGUGUCAGGUUAAGUCCUAUAACGAGCGCAACCCCUGUUGUUAGUUGCCAGCGAGUCAAGUCGGGAACUCUAACAAGACUGCCAGUGCAAACUGUGAGGAAGGUGGGGAUGACGUCAAAUCAUCACGGCCCUUACGUCCUGGGCCACACACGUGCUACAAUGGUAGGGACAGAGAGCAGCCACUUCGCGAGAAGGAGCGAAUCUACAAACCCUAUCACAGUUCGGAUCGGAGUCUGCAACUCGACUCCGUGAAGCUGGAAUCGCUAGU
rnacentral:rRNA from 1 species